UUGUCUUGCCCGGGGUGCGCAAUGGUUGCGCUGAGAUGGAUUCCAAACCCGCGAACUUGAUCCGGUUCAUACCGGCGUAAGAAGAGCCUGACCUGCUGCCU
rnacentral:ncRNA from 2 species